rnacentral:rRNA from 1 species
UACGUAGGGUGCAAGCGUUGUCCGGAAUUAUUGGGCGUAAAGAGCUCGUAGGCGGUUUGUCGCGUCGAAUGUGAAAACCCGGGGCUCAACCCCGGACUUGCAGUGGGUACGGGCAGACUAGAGUGUGGUAGGGGAGACUGGAAUUCCUGGUGUAGCGGUGAAGUGCGCAGAUAUCAGGAGGAACACCGAUGGCGAAGGCAGGUCUCUGGGCCACUACUGACGCUGAGAAGCGAAAGCAUGGGGAGCGAACAGG